AGCAUGAUUGCUGGAUCAUAUGGUAAGACUAUGUUUAGUUUUCUAAGAAACUAUUAAAUUGUUUUCCAAAGUGGCUCUACCACUUUGGAUUUCCAGCAGCAAU
rnacentral:pre_miRNA from 1 species